GUUGCAGACUUGUUGUACAGGAGGUUGCUGCAGGUUUGGAGACUUGUUGUACAGGAGGUUGCUCUUCUCUGUCCUUUGGUGAUGUUUUAAUAAAGUUUGAUGACUUUGAAUGAC